rnacentral:rRNA from 1 species
CCUACGGGUGACAGCAGUGAGGAAUAUUGGUCAAUGGGAGGAAUCCCGAACCAGCCAUGCCGCGUGCAGGACGACGGCUCUACGAGUUGUAAACUGCUUUUGUACCGGGGUAAAAUGCUCUACGAGUAGGGUUUUGCAAGUACGGUCCGAAUAAGGAUCGGCUAACUCCGUGCCAGCAGCCGCGGUAAUACGGAGGAUCCGAGCGUUAUACGGAUUUAUUGGGUUUAAAGGGUGCGUAGGUGGUUUUAUAAGUUAGCGGUGAAAUACCGAUGCUCAACAUCGGGGCUGCAGUUAAUACUGUAGGACUAGAGAACAGAUGCAGCAGGCGGAAUGUGUAGUGUAGCGGUGAAAUGCAUAGAUAUUACACAGAACACCGAUUGCGAAGGCAGCUUGCUAGGCCGGAUCUGACACUGAUGCACGAAAGCGUGGGGAUCGAACAGGAUUAGAUACCCGGGUAGUC